AAGAAUACAUCUUUGUCACACCAAGUCGCUCAAAAACGGAAAGGAAACAAUCAAGGUGGAGGAGAUGUUCAGCCCGUCAACCUGGAAGAUGCAGGGACGAGGGGUGUAACUGGGGGAUUUGUUCAGCCCGUCAACCAGGAAGGUGCAGGGACGAGUGGAUUAUCAGGUGUCCAAGCGGCAAUCCCGCUACCUUUACAGAAUCAUCAAGUGAGAUAUCCCGAGAUCUGGAUAGUGGGUGACUCGCUCGUCAGAGGGGCACACCAGCAAUCCCUAUUUCGGCCUGAGGGUCCAAAUUUAGGACUCGAUAGUUUAGGAUACAGAAUAAUUUGGGAAUACAUUAGCGGUAUGAAGAUUUCCGAAUUAAGAGAGACAAUAGAAUACCUUCUCAAUUUUCAUGCUCCACCGGUAAUGUUGAUUAUCCACUGUGGUGGGAAUGAUUUAGGAUUAAUUUCUACUUUAGAAUUGACUUGGAGCCUCAAACAUUUUUUACAAGAUUAUAUUAAAAACGCAUUACCAAACACAAAGAUUGUUUGGUCACAAAUACUUCCACGUCGAACUUGGAGAUAUAUAGACGACAAUUUAAUUGCUAAAAGAAUGUGUACCAGAAUUAACAGUUGUUUAGGAAAAUAUUUCAUAAAGUGUGGAGGUGCAUAUAUUAAAUACCCAGAUAUAACUUGUGAAUCUAUAUACUUCUCAGCAGACGAUUGCCAUCUGUCAAAUUUAGGAUAUAAUGUUAUGGUAAGCACCCUAUCUGGUGCUGUCUAUUCGUUUUUGUUCGCAGGUCAGGCUGUUUUCCCUUACUUGUCAUAGCUGGAUUACUGAUUAAUUGUUUCAUGAUAGUCCGCUUUGGCGGAAGGCUCGAUUUCAUCUCACCUUUUGGCGAUUUAACUAUCAUAAAACACUUUCUGCCGUAGACGGGGAAGUUGAUUUGCAAAAAUUUUCAUUAUCUUGUAUUACAGUAAUCCAGCCAUGACAAAUAUAUGCCAAACCAUUAAUUAAUAAAUUAGAGUUUUAAACAGUUA